CCUACGGGUGGCAGCAGUGGGGAAUAUUGCACAAUGGGGGAAACCCUGAUGCAGCGACGCCGCGUGAGUGAAGAAGUAUUUCGGUAUGUAAAGCUCUAUCAGCAGGGAAGAUAAUGACGGUACCUGACUAAGAAGCCCCGGCUAACUACGUGCCAGCAGCCGCGGUAAUACGUAGGGGGCAAGCGUUAUCCGGAUUUACUGGGUGUAAAGGGAGCGUAGGUGGCAGGGCAAGUCAGAUGUGAAAACCCGGGGCUCAACCCCGGGAGUGCAUUUGAAACUGUCCAGCUGGAGUGCAGGAGAGGUAAGCGGAAGUCCUAGUGUAGCGGUGAAAUGCAUAGAUAUUAGGAGGAACACCGAUUGCGAAGGCAGCAUACCGGCGGCGAUCUGACGCUGAGGCACGAAAGCGUGGGUAUCGAACAGGAUUAGAUACCCGGGUAGUC
rnacentral:rRNA from 1 species